GGCCCGCUAGCUCAAUUGGUAGAGCAUCUGACUCUUAAUCAGAGGGUUGCGGGUUCGAGUCCCGCGCGGGUCA
rnacentral:tRNA from 1 species